AGGGAAGUUGGAAGGAAAUAACGUCGCCAAAAAAGUAAACUAAAGGUGUAAGAAAAACAUCAUUCUGAUUCAAGAGGAAUAACACUUGACAUAUAGGUUUGAUGUAGAUGAAGCAAGCAAAAAUGUGUCUUCAGUCUAUCAACUUCUUCCUAUCUUCAUUGCCACACCCUGAUCCAAGUGACCACCUUCUCUCUACUGCACGACUGCAAUACAGCAUUGGUGGUUCAGCAUGGGCUAGAGUCUGUCCCUUAUAAUGCAGCCUGGGAAAAG